GCUUUUCUAUCAAGGUCCUUCCAGCUUUCCUUGUUAAUAAGCUCAAGCUAAUGAAGAGGAACACCUCCUGUUUUGUGAGAAGGAUUUAUCUAAGACUCAUUUAUUCGACCAGUUUGUUUAUAUCUACACCUGCUCGGGGUGGACAUGAGGCACUUUGCUACCUGGUAAAUUCUGCAUCUAAAGUCAUUCUACAGCCCACGGAUGCUUGGUAAGGACUUGCUGAGUUUAGAAAUCAGUGAUGAAGGAAGUGGUAAUUUGAGUAAAGAAGCUUAAAUUUGGGAAAGCACAUUUGACCUCCCACAUUCAGAUCUCGACAAAAAGGUCUCAGAUCCACAAUAACAGUACUUCUAUUUUUAUUCAUGUUUGCCCAUGGAAUUAACAUUUAGUGGUCUAUGGUGGAACAAUUUUGGGAACUUUGAUUUAUGUCUCUUUGGGGCUGAAAGCAAACUAAUGAAAAUAAACCGUGAUAGUCUGCAGAUAUAGCUAAUUGCUUUGAAAGCCUCAGGAUCCCUUCACCCUCCUUGACCUGUUGGGGUUAAGUGCCUUUCUCUCUGGGGCCAGGAGGAUUCCCUUCCUGCCUGCAAGGCGUUUGUGUGUUUCCAGUCCUCUGGUUCCUGCUCCAAGUCUUUAGGAACCACACAGCUGCCUUCUCCCGUCUGUAUUUUACAAUUUCUCCUGGUGAAUUUUUGGAGAGAAAGCUAAGAGUUAGCAUGGGUGGGAAGUAAUUAUAGUUUUCAAUUCUCAGUCUUUAUCUCCUUCUAAGCAGGUGAAGAAAGAACUAAGACCUUUCUGGUGGUUAAGGUCGUAAACCUGUGGGUGCUCUCGGAAGCAGCAGGAGAAAGAGCGGCUAUAACAACGGAAAUGAGCCCCCCCUCACCGCCGUAGGUAAUGCCGGGAAGACAAGUGGAGAGGAAGGCAAUUGCAGGACUUAAAGGGCAUUUGUUGUCAUUCACAUUUCCCAGGAUUUCAGGUAACAUUAGAAAAUGUCCAAUCUCCUCCAAAGGAAAGCUGAAGGCCUGGAUGAAGAUGGAAGGGGUUUGGAGUCCCAGGACAAGGGACAUUCUAGAAGAGGAGAGAAAGGCCUGUGUACGAGGAGACGUCCUUGCCAUUUUCAGCUUUUCUAAGAUUGGAGAGGUGUGUGCCACAGCAAAGGCUACUGCUUGAAGAUGUCUAUGAUCUUUGGGAUGUACCCAAUUUUAAAGUGUAAAGAGGACAAAUGUUUUGUUUGUAUCCACCCAGCAUCACUGCAACAGGUUUCUUCUAUUUUGGAAAUUUCCCUCAUUUUAAUGUAGGAGUAACCCUUGAUUCCUCUCCUUUUUUUUUUAUUCUCGCUUUUUCGGUGAGGAAGAUUGGCCCUGAGCUAAAAUCUGUUGCCAAUCUUUCUCUUUUUUUUUUCCCUCCCCAAAGUCCCAGUACAUAGUUGUAUAUCCAAGUGGUAGAUCAUUAUAGUUCUCCUAUGUGGGAUGACACCAUAGCAUGGCUUGAUGAGCGGUGCUAGGUCUGUGCCGAAGAUCCAAACUGGUAAACCCCUGGCCACUGAAGUGGAGCGUGCAAACUUAACCACUCGGCCAUGGGGCCAGCCUCCUUUUUAAAUCCUGCCUCCUGAAGGUUGAAAGUAGGUCUCAUGUUCUCAGCCUCUCACCUUCCUGGUUCAUCUUACAGCUGGUGCCCAGGCCAGUGACCAAAGCUCUGGGUGAUGGGUUUCUUCUGUUUGUCCCUCUAGAUCCACUCUGCACCCUUCUCUACCUGUCCUGUCCCCCAGGAGGCUGAGCUGUAUCUCCAAGUUUCCUUGCCUCCGGCUUCUGGUUGGGUUUAGCCAGUGAGAGGCAAUAGCAGGAGACUGGAGAGUGGAAGGAGAGAGUAGUGGGACGUUGAUGCCCCCAGCUCCAUCUAUGCCAGGAAGUGUUCUGACCUUCACUACUUUUCCAGGAAUACAGUGUAGAGAUAGUAGAGCGUCAUAGAGAUAACGGAUGACCUUGCCAACCCGGUGGAAAAAUACAGAUGAGAAACUUCACACCGAGACCAGGUGGGUGAAUAUGGUGGAGAGAAAGUCAACAUCUUGUGGGAUGAUAACAGUGAUCUUAUUGCUGCUCGCUCAUGGCUAUUGUGUUAUUUGCAGUCUGGCCUACCAACUAGUGGUAAUAAAAGUACCACCAGCUGUGACA
rnacentral:lncRNA from 1 species